rnacentral:rRNA from 1 species
UGGGGAAUUUUGGACAAUGGGCGCAAGCCUGAUCCAGCCAUGCCGCGUGAGUGAAGAAGGCCUUCGGGUUGUAAAGCUCUUUCGGCGGGGACGAAACGGUUCGUGACAACACCACGGACUAAUGACGGUACCCGCAUAAGAAGCACCGGCUAACUACGUGCCAGCAGCCGCGGUAAUACGUAGGGUGCAGGCGUUAAUCGGAAUUACUGGGCGUAAAGCGUGCGCAGGCGGUUUGUUAAGACAGGUGUGAAAUCCCCGGGCUUAACCUGGGAAUUGCGCUUGUAACUGGCAGGCUAGAGUGUGGCAGAGGGGGUGGAAUUCCACGUGUAGCAGUGAAAUGCGUAGAUAUGUGGAGGAACACCGAUGGCGAAGGCAGCCCCCUGGGUUAACACUGACGCUCAUGCACGAAAGCGUGGGGAGCAAACAGGAUUAGAUACCCCCGUAGUCCCUGAGCGGGCUGGCAAGGCGCAU